rnacentral:rRNA from 1 species
AGAGUUUGAUUAUGGCUCAGAUUGAACGCUGGCGGCAUGCUUUACACAUGCAAGUCGAACGGCAGCAUGGGGGCAACCCUGAUGGCGAGUGGCGAACGGGUGAGUAAUAUAUCGGAACGUACCCAAGAGUGGGGGACAACCAGUCGAAAGAUUGGCUAAUACCGCAUACGAUCUAAGGAUGAAAGUGGGGGACCUUCGGGCCUCACGCUCCUGGAGCGGCCGAUAGCUGAUUAGCUAGUUGGUGGGGUAAAGGCCUACCAAGGCGAUGAUCAGUAGCUGGUCUGAGAGGACGAUCAGCCACACUGGGACUGAGACACGGCCCAG